rnacentral:rRNA from 1 species
GGACUACCGGGGUAUCUAAUCCUGUUUGCUCCCCACGCUGUCGCGCCUCAGCGUCAGCAACUGCCCAGCAGGCCGCCUUCGCCACCGGUGUUCUUCCGGAUCUCUACGCAUUCCACCGCUACACCCGGAAUUCCACCUGCCUCUACAGUGCUCUAGUCCACCAGUUCGCAUGGCAGACUCGGGGUUGAGCCCCGAGCUUUCACCACACGCUUAGCAGACCGCCUACGCGCCCUUUACGCCCAGUGAUUCCGGACAACGCUCGCACCCUCCGUAUUACCGCGGCGGCUGGCAC